GCGCAGCCUGAAGGCGCACAUAAAUACGAACCGGACGCGGAUGUUCCUCCUUUCGGGCUCGACGACGAGAGGAGGAGGACGGAGUGCUAAGCUCCUCCAUUGUCAAUUGCGGCAUAACUAUGACUUUUCGGCGUUUUGUCGACUCGAUGACCCGUGUUUCGUUACGAAGCACUGGUGAAGAAUGUCGUCUUCAAAACUGGGCAUUAAACUGGCUAAGGAUGUGACAAAACACAUGAUGGGACAACCUUCCCUUGGUUUACUCUUUGCAAGAUAAGCAACCAGGCACAACAUGAGCGUCUGCUUUGUCCUGUAUCUGAUGCUUGGCAGCAGUAAUGGAUGGAAAAUGUGAACAAUUACUUCAUGUCUAAGAUGACCGGCAGCAAUAAUCAACCGACGGACAAGACUGUCCACUUUAUCAUAAUUAUAGUUGAGGAAAGAGGGCGUCGCGGUUUCCCAAUUAGAAAUGCCAAGUUUCCUAAGUAGUAAUGAGUUCACCGUUUUGCUGUUAACCAAUCAGAACAGACUGCUGAACUCAAAACACCAGUUUAAUGCAAACUGAUGGUCACCUUUGACUUUGAAGAAACACUCAUUUAAGCACACAGUUGGACCUGUUUAAAGCUGCUAUUUGGACUGCUUUCCAGACGAAUAAAACAUUUACAAAAUCUA